UUUGCGCAUCCUCCCCCGAUUGUACCAGCCGCCGGCGGCCUUAAAUUCAAUAGUUUUUCCUGGUUUCUUAGAGGAAGUAAAGGUCCAACAGUGUUUCCUGAGGAGAUCCUGGGGAAGGGAUCAUUAAUGUAUUUUGGAGGUCUAAUGUGCCUCCCAUUCAUUUGGAUGGGUGCGGGUAGUCUCUCUAAAUCCUUAUCAACACCUGUGCACCUUUAAAAAGGGGGAAACUGAUUAAGCUUUUUACGGGGUUAUGAGGAAUAACCUUUUUUCUUAUACAAACUCUUAAUGUCUAUUAGAAUGUUCUCUGGCCGCAAGGCUAUAAAAUGUAAACAACUUUUAACAACGGAUCUCUUGGCUCUCGCAUAGAUGAAGAACGCAGCGAAAUGCGAUAAGUAAUGUGAAUUGCAGAAUUCAGUGAAUCAUCGAAUCUUUGAACGCACCUUGCACUCCUUGGUAUUCCGAGGAGUACGCCUGUUCGAGUGUUAUGAAGCUCUCAAAACGCAAUUGGCUUAAAACCUGAUUGUUGUUUUGGAUUUGAACUUUGCCGUGUUAUAACGGCUGGUUUUAAAAGUAUUAGCUGGUACUAAAACGAAUUGGUUCUACUCAACGUGAUAAUUAUCUGAUCGUUGAGGACAUUCCUUUCACGAGGAAUGGCCAUAGUAAAUUCAAUGGACUGCUUCUAUUCUGGCUUUAACUCUUUAGAGGAUUCACCACUUUUUUAAUCUGACCUGGAAGCUCUCCGGAAUGCCCGCCGAACAGGAGCAUGGCAAUAAGCGGGGA
rnacentral:rRNA from 1 species